UCAUAAUUACACAUCCAUGUUCAGAUCAUUGACUGUAUAUGAGAACUGGACUGAGUGGUUCCUCCCCCUGGUGUUACAAACAGGAAGUACCUGCAGGAUCCAAAAGAAAUAAACAGUUGUUCUUUUUUCAUAAACUGACCAAUCAGAGGCCUUGAUAAAAGUAGGCGGAGCCUGCUGCCCCCAUGUUUAAAACAUUGGAUUUACAGAUUGUGUCUUCUUUUAAAAGAUGGGGGUGUGGCCUUCUAACAAGCUAACUCCUCAUUGGUGAGAGUGGUUGCCAUAGAAACUCCAACCGACUCGGACUAUCUACUCCUCACUGAGGCCGUCUGGCUCCAACAUGGCGGCGUCCGUAUUGCAAAAAAAUGGUGAUGGAAUCGACUUGAUUUGGUUGGAGCCGGACUGAACCAUUUUCUAAGGGGGCGGGAUCUUCUCUGAUCCUACAUUUGGGAAAUCUACGAGCGAAACGCUUCAAGACGAUUUUUUCUAGAGACGAAGAUCUUUGGAUCAAAGAAUUUGAUCCAUAAAGAUUACCUGAAGAUGACCUUCAGGAAGGUCAGAGGUCAAGUUCCCAGUGGAGAUUUUCUCUGAUCUUCAUGUGGAGAAGGCGUGUAUUCUCGCAAAUAAUUAAAAGAAAAUACAUUGUUGCUAUGGAAACAGCUUUGAGGGGCGGAGUUAUGAAACAUGAAUGACUCCCGGAUGAUGUCGGUGGGCGGAGCUUCCCUGAAGUAAUGGAUCCCUGGACGCCACUGCUGCGCCGCCACAUGUUACCCAUUAAUCACUGACGGUUUUCCUCUUUGGUCCCAAUAAUCAGAUUUGGUUUUAGACUCUUUCGUGGUUCAUGUUGUCUCACAUGAAACGUGAACAUCUGCUUCCUGACGUGAGGACCCGUCAGCGCUCGCUGUGCCGGGGCGUCCCCCUGAACACACCCCAAAACCCUGUUCCACAGAACGGCCUGAAGAGGGGUCUCCUCCCCGGGGUUUGGUGCUCCCGCAUGCCUCGCAUUCCAGCGGACGGCGGCGUGGGCCAGCAGCCGGACGCCGUUACGCAACCGGCAGAUGUUGGUGGGAAAAAGCUGAGGAGUUCAUCCUGCAGGGACCUGCAGCAAGGGAUUGUGGGAGAGGUGGAGGCCCGCUGACCAGCGUCGGGGUGGAGCUGACUCCAGGGAGCUGCAGCUCUCACACGCUGGAAUCGGAUGGCGUGAGUCAGAAUCUGGCGCUCUGCAGGACGGUUCGCAUCAGCAGCCAGCAGAACAGAACUUCUGUUUCAGUUUUGAUCAUUUCAUCGUCUAGUUCAGUCUCAGGAAAACCAUGUUAAUGUGGAUACAAACCCUCAUGUCUUUAGGAAAACGAUGUCUCAGAAACCAUUUUUAAAAUGCCCCGCCCACAAUAUUGCAUGUAGCUGGAAGUCUUGUGUUGUUCAAAUAAAAAAACAGUAUUUAAUUUUAAUUUAA